rnacentral:rRNA from 1 species
AAUAUCAUUCUUAUGUUAUUGAUUUAUGGCAAGUGAAGCGUCAAAUAAAUUUAGUAAUGGUGAUUGAAUAAUAAGAUAUGUUUAACUGUAGAGGAUUAAGUUAGUUGGAAAGAAGUAAAUAGAGUUAUUGUACCUUUUGCAUCAUGGUUUAGCAAGAUUAACUUUUUUAUUAAUUUUCUCGAAGCCUAAGGAGUUACUUUAUUACUGUUUUUAGAUAGAAAAUGUAAAUGUAGCAAAAUUUUAUUUAUAUUAUAAAGUAGAAAUGAAAUUUUUUUCGUAUUAGGAGAUAGCUAGUUUCGACAGAAAUAUAUUUACGUAUAGGUAAUCAGGUAGGGUGUUAUAAGCUAUGGAUAGCUUAGGUAAUUUAUUGAUUUUUCUGGCCCCUAGAAGGGUGAGCUUAUAGGGGAAAAAUUGUAGUGUAAGGUAAAAGUUUGUUAGCAUCUAAGCUUGAAAUUAGCUAAGAUCAGAAGCUUGUUUUAAAGUAUUAAUGUACCGUUGUGCAUUGCUUAAGUUAAGUUGAUAAAUACCUAAGCCAAAAGGUGUUGGAUUUAUGCUAAAAUGAGUAUUUUGUGGAUGAUUUAAAAACUAAAAUUGAUUGUUUAAUUAGGAAUAAUGCGUUAAUUUAAAACGUGAAAAAGGAACUCGGCAUCUAUGCUUCGCCUGUUUAGCAAAAACAUGGCUCUUUGAGUUUAAGGAUAUAAGGAGUCGGGCCUGCCCAG